UACAGAGGGUGCAAGCGUUAAUCGGAAUUACUGGGCGUAAAGCGUGCGCAGGCGGUUAUGCAAGACAGAUGUGAAAUCCCCGGGCUCAACCUGGGAACUGCAUUUGUGACUGCAUAGCUAGAGUGCGGCAGAGGGAGAUGGAAUUCCGCGUGUAGCAGUGAAAUGCGUAGAUAUGCGGAGGAACACCGAUGGCGAAGGCAAUCUCCUGGGCCUGCACUGACGCUCAUGCACGAAAGCGUGGGGAGCAAACAGG
rnacentral:rRNA from 1 species